rnacentral:rRNA from 1 species
GUGUCAGCCGCCGCGGUAAGACGAAGGUGGCGAGCGUUGUUCGGAAUCACUGGGCAUAAAGCGCACGUAGGCGGUGACGUAAGUCGGGUGUGAAAUCCCUCGGCCUAACCGAGGAACUGCGCCCGAUACUGCGUUGCUUGAGGACCAGAGGGGUGCAUGGAAUUUCCGGUGGAGCGGUGAAAUGCGUUGAUAUCGGAAGGAACUCCGGCGGCGAAAGCGAUGCACUGGCUGGUUUCUGACGCUGAGGUGCGAAAGCCAGGGGAGCAAACGGGAUUAGAUACCCCCGUAGUCC